AUGAAGAGGACCAAAAAAUCUAUUCAGCUUUGUUAUCAACUAGGCAUCAGUGGGAACGUCAAGAUGAAUGAGUCAACUAAGUAUCAGAUCGACCAAACUGAACAAAUGAUAGCUCAAGAUCAUGUUGUUCAUUGGGAAUUGAAGAGGGGAGAACGAGUAGACAUCAAACGAUUAUUUUCUAUUUCUUGUUAUCAUGGAAUUCGUCAUCAAGAUGGGGCGCCCUUUCUCUGUUCUUUUUAUUCCAAACAUGAAAGCAUCAACAAAACUUCCCUUCCAUAUAGAUCGUCAUGGCAUGAACUAAAUUCUGCAUUUCCCCAACCCCACUACUGCCCGAAAUUCGCUUUCAUCUUGUGA
rnacentral:rRNA from 1 species